rnacentral:rRNA from 1 species
UAAUACGGAGGGUGCAAGCGUUGUUCGGAAUCACUGGGCGUAAAGGGCGCGCAGGCGGUUUGGUAAGUCAGAUGUGAAAGCCCACGGCUUAACCGUGGAAGUGCAUUUGAAACUGCCAGACUUGAGUAUCAGAGGGGAAAGUGGAAUUCCCGGUGUAGAGGUGAAAUUCGUAGAUAUCGGGAGGAAUACCGGUGGCGAAGGCGACUUUCUGGCUGAAUACUGACGCUGAGGCGCGAAAGCGUGGGGAGCAAACAGG